rnacentral:lncRNA from 1 species
UCCUUUGUGAGGACCGUGGUGGCUCCAAAGCCCCCCCAGGUGGGUUUUGGGGUCCCCCACUCACCCUCCACCACCUUGACCGGGUGAAGGUCCGAGGGCAGCCGGGAGUUGAUGUGGAAAAUCUUCUGCGCGUUCCAGAUCAUGCGGAGCAGGUUACAGGGGAGCACCACCUGCAGGAGAACCCCAAAAACGGGGUCAGGACACCCAGAAACGGGGUGAGAACCCCAAAAAUGGGGUCAGGACACCCAAAAACGGGGUCAGGACACCCAAAAACGGGGUGAGAACACCAAAAACGGGGUCAGGACACCCAAAAAGGGGGUGAGGACACCAAAAACGGGGUCAGGACACCCAAAAUGGGGUGAGGACACCAAAAAAUGGGGUCAGGACACCAAAAACAGGGUCAGGACACCCAAAAAUGGGGUGAGAACACCAAAAAUGGGGUGAGAACACCAAAAACGGGGUCAGGACACCCAAAAAUGGGGUCAGGACACCCAAAAACGGGGUCAGGAGACCCAAAAACGGGGUCAGGACACCCAGAAACCGGGUGAGAACCCCAAAAACGGGGUCAGGACACCAAAAAUGGGGGGAGGACACCCAAAAAUGGGGUGAGGACACCCAAAAACGGGGUCAGGAGACCCAAAAAUGGGGUCAGGACACCCAAAAACGGGGUGAGAACACCAAAAAUGGGGUGAGGACACCCAAAAAUGGGGUGAGAACCCCAAAAACGGGGUGAGAACACCAAAAAUGGGGUGAGGACACCAAAAAUGGGGUGAGGACACCAAAAAUGGGGUGAGGACACCCAAAAAUGGGGUGAGAACACCAAAAAUGGGGUGAGGACACCCAAAAAUGGGGUGUCAGGACCCCAAAACCCCCCGGUUGAAGUUUGGGGUACCCCAAGAUGGGGUUUGGAUUUCAGGUCACCCUCAGCAGCUUUGGAGAGUGGCCCAGAUGGGGUUUGGGGUGUCCUGGUUGGGUUUUGGGGUGUCCAGGUUGGGGUUUGGGGUGUCCCAGAAGUUUUCGGGGUAUCUCAGUUGGGUUUUGGGGUGUCCAGGAGUUUUUGGGUUAUCUCAUUUGGGUUUUUGGGGUAUCUCAGUUGGGGUUUGGGGUGUCCUGGUUGGGGUUUGGGGUUCCUCGGUUGGGUUUUGAGGUGUCCCAGAAGUUUCUGGGGUAUCUCAGUUGGGUUUUGGGGUGUCCUGGUUGGGGUUUGGGGUGUCCCAGGGGUUUUUGGGGUGUCUCAGGUGGGUUUUGGUGUAUCUGGGUUGGAUUUUGGGGUAUCUCAGUUGCGUUUUGGGGUGUCUCAGUUGGGUUUUGGGGUGUCCCAGCAGUUUUUGGUGUAUCUGGGUUGGGUUUUGAGGUGUCCCAGGAGUUUUUGGUGUAUCUCAGUUGGGUUUUUGGGGUAUCUCAGUUGGGUUAUGGGGUGUCCUGGUUGGGUUUUGGGGUGUCCCAGCAGUUUCUGGUGUAUCUGGGUUGGGUUUUGGGGUAUCUGGGUUGGGUUUUGGUGUAUCUCAGUUGGGUUUUGGGGUGUCCCAGCAGUUUCUGGGGUGGAUUUUGGUGUCACCUUGCUGUCCCCGGUGGGGAAGAUGACCCUGAGCACCUCCCUGUCCUCGCGCAUGCGCUCGAACUCGCGCUCCAGCUCGUUCUGGAUGUGGGCGUUGGACAGGAUGUCCUUGACCAGCUCCUCCUGCAGCGUCCGGCGCAGCGCCCGCUCGUUGGUGUAGUCAAACUUGAACCUGGGGGGACACGGGGACACCUCAGGGACACCUCGGGGACACCCAGGGACAACCAGGGAUAUCUUGGGGACACCCAAGGACAGCUCGGGGACACCUCGGGGACACCCAGGGACACCUCAGGGACAUCUUGGGGACACCUCAGGGACACCCAGGGACAACCAGGGACAUCUUGGGGACACCCAAGGACACCUCGGGGACAUCUCAGGGACACCCAGGGACACCCGGGGACACCUCGGGGACAUCUCGGGGACAACCAGGGACAUCUCGGGGACACCCAGGGACAACCAGGGAUAUCUUGGGGACACCCAGGGACACCUCGGGGACAUCUCAGGGACACCCAGGGACACCCUGGGGA